rnacentral:rRNA from 1 species
AGUGAACGCUGGCGGUAGGCCUAACACAUGCAAGUCGAACGGCAGCACAGUAAGAGCUUGCUCUUACGGGUGGCGAGUGGCGGACGGGUGAGGAAUACAUCGGAAUCUACUUUUUCGUGGGGGAUAACGUAGGGAAACUUACGCUAAUACCGCAUACGACCUACGGGUGAAAGCAGGGGAUCUUCGGACCUUGCGCGAUUGAAUUAGCCGAUGUCGGAUUAGCUAGUUGGCGGGGUAAAGGCCCACCAGGGCGACGAUCCGUAGCUGGUCUGAGAGGAUGAUCGGCCACACUGGAACUGAGACACGGUCCAGACUCCUACGGGAGGCAGCAGUGGGGAAUAUUGGACAAUGGGCGCAAGCCUGAUCCAGCCAUACCGCGUGGGUGAAGAAGGCCUUCGGGUUGUAAAGCCCUUUUGUUGGGAAAGAAAAGCAGCAGGUUAAUACCCCGCUGUUCUGACGGUACCCAAAGAAUAAGCACCGGCUAACUUCGU